rnacentral:lncRNA from 1 species
UAUUAUAGAGUAGACUGAAGAAAAAAAAUAUUCUUCUCCUUUCUUUUUCCUUCUUUCUUCCUUCCAUUUUUUUUUUAAAUUAUUUUCUUGCAUUUGAAGCUGGGAAAUUAUGGCUGAUGAUAAGGUAACUAUUUUGCUUUGUGGGUAAUUUUUUUAUUUAUAAAAACAAUAUAAAUGUACUUGUUUAAGUUGUUUUCUUGAGUUUUUGGAGAAUUUAAGGUUGUUGUUUCUUGGAUAUAUUGCUUCUUUAGAUCAUAUAUCAUUACUAAUAUGAGUUUUUGGGUAUUUUUUUUAAUGUACAAAAAGUUCAUAAAUUUACUUGUUUAAGUUGUUUUCUUGAAUUUUUGGAGAAUUUAAGGUGGUUGUUUCUGGGAUAUAUUGCUUCUUUAGAUCAUAUAUCAUUAUACUAAUAUGAGUUUACAUACCAUUUUGCUUUGUUGGUUUUUUUUUAAUGUACAAAAAGUUCAUAACUUUACUUGUUUAAGCUGUUUUCUUGAUUUUUUUGGAGAAUUUAAGGUUUUUUCUUGGAUAAAUUGCUUCUGUAGAUAAUGUUCUAAUGUACAAAUAACAAAAAGUUCAUAACUUUACUUGUUUAGUUGGUUAUUGCUAGUUAAGGGAAUAUUUGUGUUGUUGUCCUUUAGAUCAAAUUUCACUACUAAUCUGAGUUUAAACGCCAUUUUGUUUUAUGUGUAUUUAUUUUUUAUGUACAAAAAGUUUAUAACUUUGCUUAUUAUGUUGGUUUUCUUUCUGCUAGUUUCAUUUUUUGGAAACUUUUAGUGUGAAUAUUUGGGUUGUUGUUUCUUAGAUUCAAGAUUUGGUUUAUUUAAGUAUAUCUAGUUACACAAAUGUUUCUACUAGCUGUUUUCAUAUUUCUUUUAAAGCAAGUGACUCACCUUCUUGAGCCACACGUUUCUUCCUAGAGUAGUCACAAGCUAUAUUAAACGGAGACUUGUUCAGGUAUUUAGGGGGCUGGCGUACAUGCACACUAUUGCCGGCGUUUGCCACAGACAUUUGAAAUUUUUAUUUAAGGGCUUCAAAAUAUAAAGAAGAAAAGUAAUAUCUACAUUAAAGAAAUAUAAUUUUACCUAGCUACAGAAUGUAUUUUUUCCAACGAACAUAUGGCUCCAUCACUGAUCAUAUCAAUUCUAAUUUCACCAAGUCUUUCACGUUUCAAUUAGAAUUGUAAAUAUGGUUCAUAAAUUCCCCUAAUCAGACAAAGACUUGUGCAAGUCAAUCAAGUCUUGCUUUGGUAUGCCAUGUUCCUCUAAUAUGUUAAUUUUACUAACUUAUAUUAUACUCUUGAGAAUUAUUUUUACAUGAUUAAAAUAGUUUAGGGAGAAAAGUUCGAAAUAUAUUUAAAUUUUGGUAAAAUUUGUUGGAACAUGUCUCAAUUUUGGGAGAGUCCUAUCACCCUCUGGAUUAUUUUUUACUGUAUUUCUGUGGCAUAAAUUUGCUUGCUUGACCAUUACAUGAAUGCACGCACACUGUGCACGUAACUGUCUGAAGUGGUCUAGCUAAGCUAUGCUACAGAAAUGCGGUAAAAAAUAAUCUAGGGGGACCAGCGUCCCCGUAAAGUUAAGGCAUGUUCCAACAAAUUUCGUCAAAACUUAUAUAUUUCGAACCUUUUUCCCGAUAGUUUAUAUAGCUAAUCAUAACAUUCUAGUUACUUUUCAUAAAAGUUAAUUUAGCUCAUUUUUAUAUGAGAUGGUAAUAAAAUGAGCUUUUAAUUAUAGUUUAUAAUUUGUUUGAAAUUUUGACUUGUUUUAGAGUAUGUUUUUAUGAACUUUUUUUUUGAUAAAAGAAUACACAAAAUUAAGAGCCAUUUGGAUAGAAUUAAAAUCUGGUCAAAUCUUUUCAUUUUUUUUUUUGGCUUUCCUUUAAGUGUUUAGUAAAAUUAAAAAGUGCUAAAAAAAACCAAAAACUGAUUAAAAAAAAAGUGAGAAGCUGGAGGGUGGGCUUGUUGUUGUUGAUGGAGCUGUUGAUGGUGGUAGUGGUGCUACUGUUGGUGCUAAUGAUGCUCCUCUUACAGUAUUUAAAGCAAACCAUUAUGAGUAUGAUCAUACUGGUUAUACAGAUUUUGCCUCUCCCAGCGAAUGCUCUGCAUGCAAAUGUCAAGACUGCAGAUUUUGCCUCUCCCAGCGAAUACUCUGCAUGCAAAUGUCAAGACUGCAGAUUUUGCCUCUCCCAGCGAAUACUCUGCAUGCAAAUGUCAAGACUGCAGGGCGAAACAUGAUGUAGUGAUUAAUGCUAUUAAUGCAUUAACUUCUUCUGUAAAGGAAUUGACAUCUAAGAGGGGUCUCAUUCCAUCAAAGAGGAUUUUAUUUCAUCAGUCAUCCAAAAAAGUGAAAUUGCAACUCCUCUGUCUGUGUGUUGUACUAAGCAACGUACAAUGUCCAAAGGAGAGCAGCACGAGCUGAAGAAGGUGAAUAUAUUAUAUGUCUUCCAACUGACAAAACAAACAAACACAUAUCUGUUUCAACAGAUGACACAUCUGCUGAAAAUUUUCUAAUAGAUAUAUACAUCUGUUACAACAAUUGACUAACCUGUUGCACCAGAUACUUUAUCUGAUGCAACAUAUGUCUCAUCUAUUUUAGCAAAUCAAACAGCUCUUCGUACAACUUUUAUUUGUACCAACAGACGACCUAUCUGCUGCAACAGAUGAUUCAUAUGUUACAACGGAUGGUUCAUCCGUUGGAAAUUAUCACACAGGAUCUUCCUCAUGUAAAAAUUUGUCCCAACAGUUGAUUCAUUAUUGCAACAAAAAUAAAAUAUGUUUGGGAUAAUUUAAAAUGGGAGGAAGACCUGUUUGAUUUGCUAGAAGAGAUGAGUUAUCCUUUUCUGUUUUGUUGUAUCUCCGUGAUUAGCAUUGACCAAUUCUGGCUUUCCAGGUUGAUAUAGAAGAAGCUACUGCUGAACAAAAUUGACAAUAUUCUACUUUUUUUAUGGAAAUACGGACAACAAAAAGUGUAGAAACCGUACACAAGCGACAAUGAAGAUCCACGACCAGCAAAGCCGAAUUCCAUAGUACCGGAUGAAGAACAACUUGUCCAUACUGAGUAGAUCUUUAUAUCUUGAGCCUGUCAAAGCAAUCCUUGGUAGUAUACUUAAAUUGUUGUUGAUGUAUUUGUUGAGAUCUAUUCCCAUAACAAUUUUUUUACAUUUCAUUUAUUCGUUGACUUAUUUCAGCUAAUUUAUGAAGGCUUCGAUUUAUUUUA